rnacentral:rRNA from 1 species
CCCUUAGACGUUCUGGGCCGCACGCGCGCUACACUGACUGGUGCAACAAGUGUCGCUCCUUGGCCGAUAGGCCUGGGCAAUCUUUGAACGCCAGUCGUGAUGGGGAUAGAUUCUUGCAAUUUUUGAUCUUCAACGAGGAAUUCCUAGUAAACGCGAGUCAUCAACUCGCAUUGAUUACGUCCCUGCCCUUUGUACACACCGCCCGUCGCACCUACCGAUUGAAUGGUCCGGUGAACCCUCCGGAUCGGCUCGCGCCAACGCAAGUUGAGCAAAGGCCGAGAAGUUGGGUAAACCUUACCAUUUAGAGGAAGGAGAAGUCGUAACA